AUUGUAAAGACCGGGGGCAGGCUCCGCGAACGAGGAAUUGUGUUUUUCUUGUAUCGCAAUAAGUAUUACCGUUGUAACAGUAACUAUUGUGAACAAAGAAAUAGUGAGCUCCGCAAUAUUAAAUGGACUAUCGGAGAAAAAAGGCACAAUUCUGUCGGAGAAUCAAUCAGACUACGGACGAACUGCGAGCAUCAAUGCUCAUUUCACCCCAAGAGAACUGAACGGAUCGCAACGUCUUCAGAAUCAAUAUAAGAUCUCCACUGGCAUCCGGUUGCUUCCGAGUCUCAGUGAAACAGUUUCCAUUGAGUGAACAUUGAAUUUUGGGAGAAAAAUUGCACCGUACCACCAUCGUUGGAAUAAAGGCUGUGACAGGAGCUGAAACAGAGAUGGAUUCGACGGAUGAAGAUUGUUACCAAUUUGCCUACUACAACUUGAUCGUGCUAAAUUUUCGCGACGGAACCAGUAAAAUCGUAAAACUCGUAGCAAAACUUGAUGAUGACGUAUUUUGUGUCUGGAUCAAGCCCGA